AACGGGGAAUAAGGGUUGGAUUCCGGAGAGAGGGCCUGAGAAACGGCCCUCAAAUCUAAGGAUUGCAGCAGGCGCGCAAGUUACCCAAUCCGGACAUGGGGAGGUAGUGACAAUAAAUAACAAUGUAGGGCUCUUUUGGGUCUUACAAUUGGAAUGAGUACAAUUUAAAUCUCUUACUGAGGAUCAAUUGGAGGGCAAGUCUGGUGCCAGCAGCCGCGGUAAUUCCAGCUCCAAUAGCGUAUAUUAAGAUAUAUAUCUUGGUAGAGGCCGGAGGAGUCGGUGAGGUAGGGUUGGUUCUUUC
rnacentral:ncRNA from 1 species